rnacentral:rRNA from 1 species
GAAACGACUGCUAAGACUGGGUAGGAAGAUAAAAGGCAUCUUUUAUCUUUUAAAAGACCUAGUAAUAGGUAUGCUUUAGGAGGGGCUUGCGCCAUAUUAGUUAGUUGGUAAGGUAAUGGCCUACCAAGACGAUGAUGUGUAGCUGGACUGAGAGGUUGAACAGCCACAUUGGGACUGAGACACGGCCCAAACUCCUACGGGAGGCAGCAGUAGGGAAUUUUCGGCAAUGGAGGAAACUCUGACCGAACAACGCCGCGUGAAUGACGAAGUACUUCGGUAUGUAAAGUUCUUUUAUCAAGGAAGAAAAGCAAAUGGCGAACCAUUUGUUUGCCGGUACUUGAUGAAUAAGCCCCGGCUAAUUAUGUGCCAGCAGCCGCGGUAAGACAUAAGGGGCAAGUGUUAUCCGGAAUUAUUGGGCGUAAAGGGUGCGUAGGCGGUCUAGUAAGUCAGUGGUGUAAUGGCAACGCUUAACGUUGUCCGGCUAUUGAAACUGCUAAACUUGAGUUAGAUAGAGGCGAGUGGAAUUCCAUGUGUAGCGGUAAAAUGCGUAAAUAUAUGGAGGAACACCAGAGGCGUAGGCGGCUCGCUGGGUCUUAACUGACGCUGAGGCACGAAAGCGUGGGGAGCAAACAGGAUUAGAUACCCUGGUAGUCCACGCCGUAACGAUGAGUACUAAGUGUCGGGUAAACCGGUACUGAAGUUAACACAUUAAGUACUCCGCCUGAGUAGUACGUACGCAAGUAUGAAACUUAAAGAAUUGACGGGACUCCGCACAAGCGGUGGAUCAUGUUGUUUAAUUCGAAGAUACCCGAAAAACCUUACCAGGUCUUGACAUGUUUUUGCAAAAUGAUAGUAAUAUCGUGGAGGUUACCAGAAACACAGGUGGUGCAUGGUUGUCGUCAGCUCGUGUCGUGAGAUGUUAGGUUAAGUCCUAAAACGAGCGAAACCCUUAUCGUUAGUUGCCAGCACGUUAUGGUGGGGACUUUAACGAGACUGCCAAUGAUAAAUUGGAGGAAGGUGAGGAUCACGUCAAAUCAGCAUGCCCCUUAUGACCUGGGCUACAAACGUGAUACAAUGGCUGUUACAAAGGGUAGCUGAAACGCAAGUUCUUGGCCAAUCCCCAAAAACAGUCCCAGUCCGGAUUGAAGUCUGCAACUCGACUUCAUGAAGUUGGAAUCGCUAGUAAUCGCGAAUCAGCAUGUCGCGGUGAAUACGUUCGCGGGGUUUGUACACACCGCCCGUCA